rnacentral:rRNA from 1 species
GUUAAGUGACUAAGCGUACACGGUGGAUGCCUUGGCAGUUGGAGGCGAUGAAGGACGUACUAACUUGCGAUAAGCCUAGUCAAGCCAGUAAGAGGCGCUUGAGACUAGGAUUUCCGAAUGGGGAAACCCACCUGCUUGCAGGUAUCGUUAACUGAAUACAUAGGUUAACGAGGCGAACGCGGAGAACUGAAACAUCUAAGUACCCGUAGGAAAAGAAAUCAACCGAGAUUUCGUUAGUAGCGGCGAGCGAACGCGAAGGAGCCUGUUAGUGAUAAUGACAGAGACAGAGGAACAAGCUGGGAAGCUUGGCGAUACAGGGUGAUAGCCCCGUACUCGAAGUCCAGGUCAUGGUACUAAGCUAACGACAAGUAGGGCGGGACACGUGAUAUCCUGUUUGAAGAUGGGGGGACCAUCCUCCAAGGC